rnacentral:rRNA from 1 species
GUCUGCAUGGAGCCGGCCUUGAAAUACCACCCUUUAAUGUUUGAUGUUCUAACGUGGACCCGUGAUCCGGGUUGCGGACAGUGUCUGGUGGGUAGUUUGACUGGGGCGGUCUCCUCCUAAAGAGUAACGGAGGAGCACGAAGGUUGGCUAAUCCUGGUCGGACAUCAGGAGGUUAGUGCAAUGGCAUAAGCCAGCUUGACUGCGAGCGUGACGGCGCGAGCAGGUGCGAAAGCAGGUCAUAGUGAUCCGGUGGUUCUGAAUGGAAGGGCCAUCGCUCAACGGAUAAAAGGUACUCCGGGGAUAACAGGCUGAUACCGCCCAAGAGUUCAUAUCGACGGCGGUGUUUGGCACCUCGAUGUCGGCUCAUCACAUCCUGGGGCUGAAGUAGGUCCCAAGGGUAUGGCUGUUCGCCAUUUAAAGUGGUACGCGAGCUGGGUUUAGAACGUCGUGAGACAGUUCGGUCCCUAUCUGCCGUGGGCGCUGGAGAACUGAGGGGGGCUGCUCCUAGUACGAGAGGACCGGAGUGGACGCAUCACUGGUGUUCGGGUUGUCAUGCCAAUGGCACUGCCCGGUAGCUAAAUGCGGAAGAGAUAAGUGCUGAAAGCAUCUAAGCACGAAACUUGCCCCGAGAUGAGUUCUCCCUGAGACUUAGAGUCUCCUGAAGGAACGUUGAAGACGACGACGUUGAUAGGCCGGGUGUGUAAGCGCAGCGAUGCGUUGAGCUAACCGGUACUAAUGAACCGUGAGGCUUAACCUUACAACGCCGAAG